UAUCGGGUAAAGCCAAUGAUU
rnacentral:siRNA from 1 species